rnacentral:sRNA from 1 species
UUUGCUUCCGUUUUCACUUUUAGAAGGUCAAAGCACUUCUCUUAGUUUAUAGACUAGAUAUAAAUGUUUAAAUGUGUUUUUAGACAAACAUUGACUUCAAUUCAAUUGUACGCAUGAAGGCAUGCGAAUAAGAAUCCGUCGGCGCAUGCCUACAUCGGCCUUAGUAGUUGUAUCUAUUGUUGGAGUGAUUGGGGGAAUCUAUAUCUGGCAACCAAUAUUAAUAAACCACUACAAGAAUUUUAAGAAAGAUUUGCCAGGGACAGUUUUGCCGACACAAUCAGAUCCCGAGACUUUAACUUUAAGUGAACCAGCUCAUAUUAAAGCAAUUAAUAUCAACAGAGAGGACAAAUAAAACAGAUUACUCAAUCUUCAAGUCACCGCAAUCAAUUGGUCAAAAUGGCUCCAAAAAUUUCACCUAAGCUGACAUACACAGUUUUUGGUCUAGCAGCAUCAGCCACACUUUACAUCUUUGGCCUGAAGCCUUAUCUCGAUGAGAAGAAAAUGAAAGAGUUUGAAAGUGAAGCAAAAAGAGUCUAUGAGAUGAGACAAAAGAGGACAGAGCAACCUGUACAAUUCAAACAUGAUAUUACUUACAAAUAAACUGUUAUGUACUUGAUUUAUCAAUCUUAUUAUUAAAUUAGUUGAUGUCUCAUAGUGAAUAAACUAAUGUUAUAUAUAAUA